CAAUAAAGGGGUAUACAUGUACACUUACCAAAUGGCCGGUAGCAGUGUGGGCAGGUGUGGUUGUGUCUCCUCUGGAGGGAGGUGGACCAGAAACUCUCUCGUAGCUGCAGAGGGGAGGGAAUAUAACAGGAGCAAUGGCUAUUAUCCAUGCAACAGUGCUCCUCUUGGCUAUACUAAUGGACGAGACUGGACAGUGAGGACUGUGUAUGUCUGCUCGUUCGAGCGUUGUUUCGAGGCAUUAAGAGAAUCUACGUUUCUCAAGCAAGAUUUAACUGAGUUUAUAUAAAUAGGGGCCUAAAUCAGAGAGGUCCAGCAGCCUGCUAAACCUUCUUGAAAAGUAAUUUGGGGCAUUCAAUCAUCCUGAAGUUUCCCUGGGUCACUAUAAUCGUGCUGCAGCACAACCGACAACUCUCCUUGUGAAGCACCUUCCUAUAUGUACAUCUUUUUGUAUACUCCACUCAGUGAAAUUUCUAUGUAUAAAUUUCAAUUAUUGAAAUAUUUUUACCGACUACAAAUUAAA